GGUUGACUUGACACAAAUCUAAUACAUGAAGUAAAAAGGACCGGAGGACUAUUAUAAUAAGUUUUAUAUGACUGGUCAAUCAGUAUCUAGUUCAAUCCUUAUUGUGCCAGCGGAAUAAAUAAGGAUCCAACGGCGGCCCUUCAUUCUUGUACCUCCAGCUUUCUUCCUCCAACCAUUUCUCUCCCCAUGAAAUCCACUUACCCAAUAUGAAAAUUCAGUAAACUUAACCCAAUAUGGAAAUUCAGUCAACGUGCAUAUAGCUGCCGUGUGGAUUGGCGAGUACUAGGCGCCGGCGCACCGGCCCAAUAGUUUGGCCGGUCGCGCGACAACCCUCGGAUUCGAGCGCUACGAACAGUCUGAUCUCAUCCCCUUCCUUCUCUCAUACACACCAAAGGGAUCUCACACACCAAAUCCCCCUGCGAGCGCUGCAGCCGGAGCAUCGCCCCCGAGCUAGCCGGAUCCCUCGCACGGUUGUAACAGAGAGCGCCACCGACCCAGCUUGACGGGUCCCCCCCCCGCGCGUCGCUGCCCCUCCCAACCAUCUCCCUCGUUCGCAACUCCGUCAUGGUCGGAUACCCGCCAAGCUUGGCCAUGGCUGACACGGAGCCUCCGUUGGCAGCGGUUGAAGCUCCCCGCCCCGCGGUUGUAGCAUCUGGUGCGCCACCCCCACCCCCUCCAUCCUCGCCGUCGAGCUCGUCGCAGGGUGCAUGCUGCAGGCACCGCCGUCGUCUUCUUCCCUGGGUAACCCAAUUCCACAUGUCGCCGUUGUAGCAAAACAGCCCGGCGUUUGUAGCUUUUCAGAAUCCCCGAUGUAGCAAAAAAAAAUGAGCGACACCACUUCGCCCUGUACCACUCCAUUGAUGUAGCAAAACAAAUCGCAGGUUCCAGCUUCUAUAGAUGCUGAUCCCAGCUGCUCUCAACUGUCGCGACAAAUACUGUGGUUGGUUCCAGCAAAAAUAUGGAUCCAGCAAAAAAUCAGAAGGGGGUGGUAGCAAAAAUCAGAAGGGGGUGGUAACAAAUAUUUGAGUGGUUCCAGCAAAAAAAAAUGGAUCGAAGCAAAAUAACAAAAAUGGAUCGAAGCAAAAUAAAAUCAAAGACGGGAUGGUAGCAACAGCGAAGACGGCUGUAGCAAAAAUUUGUAGUUGUUCCAGCAAAAAUUUCAAGGGCGUGGUGCAAAAAUCAGAAGGACAGUGGUAGCAAAAACAAGAGAUAGUGGUAGCAAAAAUUUAGACUGAUUCCAGCAAAAAAGCAGCCUAAUUACGGAUCAUAGCAAAAAAGUUUUUGAUUCCAGCAAAACAACAAACUAGUUGUAGCCAAAAUUGUGGCAGAUUGCAGAUCCCGUCGAGGCAGGUUCCAGCAUCUCGUCCGCUUGUAGCAUGUAGGCGCUGUUCCAGGUAGGUGGGGGGUGUCGCUCGUCGGAGCAGUGCGGACGUGGUUUGGAGUGGCUGCUUGCCGGAGCAGCGUGGGGCAGGUGAAGGGCGUACGUUCGCCGGAGUAGCGCGGGGGCAGGUGGAGGGCGGCCCUCGCCGGAGCAGCGUUGGCCGUGUUUGAUUAGGGGAAAAGGAGAUGCUUGUGUGCG
rnacentral:rRNA from 1 species